rnacentral:rRNA from 1 species
CACGCCGUAAACGAUGAGUGCUAGGUGUUGGGGGGCUACGCCCCUCAGUGCCGAAGGUAACCCAUUAAGCACUCCGCCUGGGGAGUACGGCCGCAAGGCUGAAACUCAAAGGAAUUGACGGGGGCCCGCACAAGCGGUGGAGCAUGUGGUUUAAUUCGAAGCAACGCGAAGAACCUUACCAGGGCUUGACAUCCCGCUGACCCCUCCAGAGAUGGAGGUUUCCUUCGGGACAGCGGUGACAGGUGG